CUAAUUUAUUGAUGCAGAUGGUCAAUGAAGAGACAAGGAAAUGCACUGUUGGACCUGCUAUUCAAAACCAUGGAAGAACUGAUUGAAGAUGUGAAGGCUAAGGGUACCCUUGGCUGCAGGAACUGAGACUAUGGAAUUGAAGAUUGUGAGAGAAGUGAGCAAGAUAAACAGCAGAGUUCCUUCCCUGGACUUCUGAAGAGCAAAUUUAGGUCUGUUCAGGGCGGCUUUCAUGGGAAACUGUUCAGCAGGGCAAAAGGCCUCAGGAUAGCUGGCUGAUCUUCAAGGACAACCUCCCCAGAACACAAGAACAGUGCACAAUGUUCAGAUUUGAGCAAGCAUGGCAGAAGGCCAACGUGGAUGAACAUGGAGCUCCUGCCUAAGCUCAAACGCAUGGCGAUAAAAGCACUGAGCUCUGUGGCUGAGUUCAAAGCUUUGCAUCAGUGGUUGGAGACAGCAGAAGGCAGGCUGCAGCCUGCAGCCACAGGGAGUCGUGCCCUGGAGAUGGGGACACAGCUCAUACCUCAUCAUCGUGGCCAGUGGGCAGUCAGCAGCUCAGCCUGGCCGCAUGGUCUCCAAAGCUGGGAAGGCAAACCGCAGCAAGCAGCUGGGCAAGCAGAAAAUACAACACAGCAAGGCUUCUUUUGACCUCCUUCUCACUCGCAUGCAAAGCUGCCUUUACCAGAAAAGUCCCUGGGACAGCGCUUCUUUGGCAGUAUUCUCUGAAUUCCUUGACAUACAACUGAAGUGCUGAGAAUACUACAAUAGUCAUUCAUCACAGUACAAAAGAAGCCAAGUCCAAGUCGUUACAGAAUGUAUCCAGCAGUUGCACUGGUACUGUUUUCACAAUACCAGGAUGGCUGAACUUCAGAGUGUUUGGCACCGCAGCCUGGAUGGAACUGCAGUGGACAUUGCACAGUGGUUCCAGUGUGCUCUCUGCUGGUGAUGCCAUUCCCCACUUUGGAAAAUGAUUGAUUCAUUAUUAUUAUUAAAACAAAACAACAACAACAAAACAAAAAGGAAAACAAAAACAACAAGACAAGGUUAAGUGUAUAAGUUGCUAAACUGCU
rnacentral:lncRNA from 1 species